rnacentral:rRNA from 1 species
AACACAUGCAAGUCGAGGGGAAACGACAUCGAAAGCUUGCUUUUGAUGGGCGUCGACCGGCGCACGGGUGAGUAACGCGUAUCCAACCUGCCCACCACUUGGGAAUAACCUUGCGAAAGUAAGACUAAUACCCAAUGAUAUCUCUAGAAGACAUCUGAAGGAGAUUAAAGAUUUAUCGGUGAUGGAUGGGGAUGCGUCUGAUUAGCUUGUUGGCGGGGUAACGGCCCACCAAGGCGACGAUCAGUAGGGGUUCUGAGAGGAAGGUCCCCCACAUUGGAACUGAGACACGGUCCAAACUCCUACGGGAGGCAGCAGUGAGGAAUAUUGGUCAAUGGGCGAGAGCCUGAACCAGCCAAGUAGCGUGCAGGAUGACGGCCCUAUGGGUUGUAAACUGCUUUUAUAAGGGAAUAAAGUGAGCCUCGUGAGGCUUUUUGCAUGUACCUUAUGAAUAAGGACCGGCUAAUUCCGUGCCAGCAGCCGCGGUAAUACGGAAGGUCCGGGCGUUAUCCGGAUUUAUUGGGUUUAAAGGGAGCGUAGGCCGGAGAUUAAGCGUGUUGUGAAAUGUAGAUGCUCAACAUCUGCACUGCAGCGCGAACUGGUUUCCUUGAGUACGCACAAAGUGGGCGGAAUUCGUGGUGUAGCGGUGAAAUGCUUAGAUAU